rnacentral:rRNA from 3 species
AAAUUGAAGAGUUUGAUCAUGGCUCAGAUUGAACGCUGGCGGCAGGCCUAACACAUGCAAGUCGAACGGUAACAGGAAGCAGCUUGCUGCUUUGCUGACGAGUGGCGGACGGGUGAGUAAUGUCUGGGAAACUGCCUGAUGGAGGGGGAUAACUACUGGAAACGGUGGCUAAUACCGCAUAACGUCG